CGCUACAAAUCAAAAUAUCGAUAAGAAAUACACCACCACCCUAUCGGUCGAUGAUGUCACCAGUCAGUCAUUGGCCUAACCAAGUUUGCAUCUGUUGACAGCUGCAUAUCAAGUUUAAGUUCAAGGUUGAAAACGAAAGUUUUGUUGUUGAAGGAGUGCAAAGUAAAAUAUCUAAAUUCCGUGAUCAUCGGAAUCAGUUUUAGUUCCAAAGUACGAAAAUAAUUCUAAGUCAAACAGUUACGAUCGUGUGUGUGAAGAUUUGUGAAACGUCGAUAGAACGCGGCUAACUCAUCUGCUUGAAAGACCGUUCCUGCAAACAGGACAUCCAACGGUGUCAAGUCUUAAGCUUUGAGGUUAGUUUCCCACACGAUCGCGCGAGUCAAAUUAGAAAUCCGCACGGAAAGUACCAAAGUAUUUUUAAGCGGUUCAAAACAAUAAACACAAAAUCAAGAAUCCGGUUUUGUUUUGAUUGGAACGAGCUAUAAUAAUUUUGGACAGUCGGAUUUCUGGAGCUCAAAGGC